ACGGGAGGCAGCAGUGGGGGAUAUUGCACAAUGGGGGAAACCCUGAUGCAGCGACGCCGCGUGAGUGAAGAAGUAUUUCGGUAUGUAAAGCUCUAUCAGCAGGAAAGAUAAUGACGGUACCUGACUAAGAAGCACCGGCUAAAUACGUGCCAGCAGCCGCGGUAAUACGUAUGGUGCAAGCGUUAUCCGGAUUUACUGGGUGUAAAGGGAGUGUAGAUGGCAUGGCAAGUCAGAUGUGAAAGCUCGGGGCUCAACCCCGGAACUGCAUUUGAAACUGUCAAGCUGGAGUGCAGGAGAGGAAAGUGGAAUUCCUAGUGUAGCGGUGAAAUGCGUAGAUAUUAGGAAGAACACCAGUGGCGAAGGCGGCUUUCUGGACUGUAACUGACAUUGAGGCUCGAAAGCGUGGGGAGCAAACAGGAUUAGAUACCCUGGUA
rnacentral:rRNA from 1 species